rnacentral:rRNA from 1 species
GUCGAGAAUCUUUCACAAUGGGGGCAACCCUGAUGGAGCGACGCCGCGUGGAGGAUAAGGUCUUCGGAUUGUAAACUCCUGUCAUGCGUGAACAAGGUUGCUUGGUUAAUACCUGGGCAAAUUGAUGGUAACGCAAGAGGAAGAGACGGCUAACUCUGUGCCAGCAGCCGCGGUAAUACAGAGGUCUCAAGCGUUGUUCGGAAUCACUGGGCGUAAAGGGUGCGUAGGUGGCGUGGUAAGUCAGAUGUGAAAGCCCGGGGCUCAACCUCGGAACUGCAUCCGAUACUGCCAUGCUAGAGUACUGGAGAGGUGACUAGAAUUCUCGGUGUAGCAGUGAAAUGCGUAGAUAUCGAGAGGAAUACCAAAGGCGUAGGCAGGUCACUGGACAGUUACUGACACUGAGGUGCGAAAGCGUGGGAAGCAAACAGGAUUAGAAACCCUGGUAGUCC